CACACUGCAAUAAGAACAUGCGCCAUAUUUCUCAAAACUUUAAAUUUAUUGUAAAACCAUAACAAAAAGGAUAAAAAGGUAUCAAAAACAAAAGUAAAACGAUAAACAGUCAUGACGGAUACCUCAGCAUAUCAAUUGCGGUACGAGUACGCUGCAGUUUGUACCAAACUCGGACCUCCAUAAGAUACCUAAUCUUGGGCUGCAAGCUGAUGUACGAACAAUAGAGUCCAGCUUGUGACUGGCGAGGUCUGAUCCCUGAUGGGAAAGCACGUGGAUCGGUUACCGGCGCACUCUGGCUCCAACUGCACAACAAUCUGACUGUGUCCAAUUAGAUAGCACCCAAAUUCAAUACCCCGCAUUUUGACGCUCGAGGCACAUCUGAAGCGAUUGCAGUUGGAACACGAAUGAUACGGAACAGAUAUUAGGCCGUGGAAAAGUGGGAAGGCACGCAGUCUGAUUGACAGAAGCAUCUCAUGAACUGUGGGUCUCGGUAACAGAAGAAAGAUUUACAUUGCUGGUCCAUCCGGGCUAGGGAUCACAGAUUUUGGCAGCUAUGCCAUAAACGCACAAAAAGCCACCACCAGCAAUGAGUUGCAGCAUGGCACCAAUGUGCAGUUCAAAGAGUCCGAGGAGGAGAGCUAUAAUGAUAAAUAUGGCGAGAUUUGGGACAAUUAUGUACCU